rnacentral:tRNA from 1 species
GGAAGUGUGGCCGAGCGGUUGAAGGCACCGGUCUUGAAAACCGGCGAGGGGCAACCCUCCCAGAGUUCGAAUCUCUGCGCUUCCGCCA